ACCCGCGCCUUCUCUUUUCUUCCCCGUCGAACCCAAGCCCUAACCUCAAUCGAGUGGUUUCUCCUCUCCUUUUCCUCACCGAGCCCUUCUCUUGAUUCUUCCUCAUCCAUUCCGAGCAGCGUCACAGAUCUCUGCUCUAGCCUCUCUACCGUCGCACACCGCCGCCCCUCUCGUGCGACACCAAGCCAACCGGCCGCCGAUCAUCAGCCACUGGACGCCGGAGCUUUACCCUUUUCUCUUGGAUUUCUCUCCUCUGUUUCGGCCAGAAUCUCUUCUCUACCCUAGCGCCGGCAGACGGCUGCACCUUUGCUGCGACUUGGCAGCACAACCGCCGCCCGAGCCCUAGUUUGAUUCAUCGUCGCCCCUUCUUCCCUAUCAAAGUGUAGCCUCGGUAUGGGCUGGGCUUCGGCCAAGAGGAAGGAUUCAUGCACUAGCCUUGGUUAGUCGUCGUUCCUUCCUCCCUUUUUUCUUGCAGCAGAACGCCACAAUCCACCCUGACAGCAUCGUGGAUUCCUCGGCACCUAAGGAGAUUUGAUUUGGAGGGAUCAACAGCCACACUGGUUUUCUUCGGUCACAUUUUUCCAGCAACAAACAACCUUCAUCUAGCACCUUACUUUAUUUCAGUAGCCACAGCGACUGUGAAUUGAGGUGGUUGUCGACAGAAACUUUAGGGCAGUGAGGUGGAUUUCCAACGGCCCACCUUGUUUAUGGUUGUGAGUCAUCAGCGAAGUAUCCUGCUACCGAUGAUCACAUUGGAGCUUCACUUGGUCUCGACCACUGUUACUAAUGUGAGGAUGCUCCGGUAGUGAGGCAGCAUUAGGGUGCAUUGGCAUUGGGACUUUGAUUCAAAAUGGGCGCCUCGACGUAGGAUUUCUGGAUACGAUAUUCUUUUGAGGCGGGUACCUCUUGACUUAUCUUUUAUGAUAUUGUCAAUUGGAUAUGUAUAAUAUUUUAUAGCUACAAGCAAUGAUCAUGUCUGUCUUUGGUAUGUCACGGCUUGAUACCCAUAGCAGUGUUGUGUUUUGGCUUUGGUACAGCCGAGUGGGCUGCUUUACAUAUA